rnacentral:rRNA from 1 species
CCUACGGGAGGCAGCAGUGGGGAAUAUUGGACAAUGGGGGGAACCCUGAUCCAGCCAUGCCGCGUGUGUGAAGAAGGCCUUUUGGUUGUAAAGCACUUUAAGCGAGGAGGAGGCUCCCUAGACUAAUACUCUAGGAGAGUGGACGUUACUCGCAGAAUAAGCACCGGCUAACUCUGUGCCAGCAGCCGCGGUAAUACAGAGGGUGCAAGCGUUAAUCGGAUUUACUGGGCGUAAAGGGUACGUAGGUGGUCUUUUAAGUCGGAUGUGAAAUCCCUGAGCUUAACUUAGGAAUUGCAUUCGAUACUGAGAGACUAGAGUAUGGGAGAGGAUGGUAGAAUUCCAGGUGUAGCGGUGAAAUGCGUAGAGAUCUGGAGGAAUACCGAUGGCGAAGGCAGCCAUCUGGCCUAAUACUGACACUGAGGUACGAAAGCAUGGGGAGCAAACAGGAUUAGAUACCCUGGUAGUCCAUGCCGUAAACGAUGUCUACUAGCCGUUGGGGUCUUUGAGACUUUAGUGGCGCNGCACGACGAGAGUAGACGCCGUCGGGAGGUACGGUCGCGACGAACGAAACGUAACGAAAGAAAGUAGUACGGACGUGAGACGACGACGACGGACGACGACGAGGGGAGGAGG